rnacentral:rRNA from 1 species
GGAACUCUAGGGAGACCGCCGGUGAUAAACCGGAGGAAGGUGGGGACGGCGUCAAGUCAUCAUGGCCCUUAUGACCAGGGCUACACACGUGCUACAAUGGUCGGUACAGAGGGCAGCCAAGCCGUGAGGUGGAGCUAAUCCCACAAAGCCGAUCGUAGUCCGGAUCGGAGUCUGCAACUCGACUCCGUGAAGUCGGAAUCGCUAGUAAUCGCGGAUCAGAAUGCCGCGGUGAAUACGUUCCCGGGCCUU